CAUGCGAGUGUUGCACGGGAGCGUUGCUGGAGUGUUGUUCUUAAGCUAUUCAACAGUUUCUGUUUGUCAGGUAAUAUUUAUUAGGAAACGGCGAAGAACAGUAGUGAAUUCCAGAUUUUUGGGCCUUUUAUGUGCAUUGAGUUUUUGCAUAGUGUGAGAUGGACACGAGGAACAUCAAAGAGUGAUCUGUGCCUUGUGUUUUGAUCAUGUGUUCUGUUGAGACGAUGCAACAUCUCCCCAGUGAAAAGCAUAGGCGCCACUAGCACGAUGCCUCCCAGCAUAAUAAGGGGGAUUGCCAGUAGACCCCAGGCUGUCUUUAAGAAGGCACUGGACAGGCACCUAAAGUCAGUGCCUGACCACCUGGGCUGUGGUUUGUAUGUCGGAUUAUGUGCAGCCAACAGUAACAGCCUGGUUGAUUAGGUCCUGAUCCAACAUGAGGCCUUUUCCCAGACCAGGCUGUGGGGGUGUUGACCCCUGAAACCCUCUCCAGGUAUACUCCAGAUCAGGGAUGGUAACUGGGCUCAUCCUUUUAAUGUAGCCUGUGACAAACCAAGAGUCCUUGGGUAGAUACUAAGAUAAAAAUACAAGGAUCAUUGGAGAACUACAUGGAGAUAAUACAAUGAAAAAUUCCAUGGAUAUAACAAUACAAGAUCAUUGAAGACUUAAACAACUGCCCAAAUGUGAUGAAUUCCCACUUAUUGUGGUAUAAAUUGUAGAUACGAAGAUGAUAUGAGGGGGGAGCGUUAAGGAGCUGUGAUCUAUUCGGGUUGAGCACGUCUCCCUGAGUAUCAGAGAUGGUGACUGGGUUUAUCCUUUUAAUGUAGGCUGUGACAAACCAAGAGUCCUUGGGUAGAUACUGGGAUAAAAAUACAUGGAUCAGCAGAGAACUAUAUGGAGAUAAUACAAGGAUCACUGAAGGCCUAAGCAACUACCCAAUUGUGGAAGGUUCAAUGGACUGGUCCAAUAACUUCAGCAACUACUUUCCACACUGAAGGCAGCCAUGUGGAGGUCUGUAGCAGAUGUUGAUGAUAAGCAGAAACAGUCAUCCCUUUGGUCUGCUUGUCGAGGAUCUCUGCUUCGGUGAGGGAUGUAGAAGCAGUGAAAGGAGUUGACAGAGAAAGUUCCUUUAACACAAAACUGAUGUUCUUCAACUUCGCCAGAGAGUGAGAGAUGGCGGCCACCAUCAAGUAUUUCUUGAUGCAUGUGACAACUGUAAGCUUCCCAAGUGCCAUCUUUAAGUGUGAUGCCUACUUUAAUGUAGUAAUCAUUAAGGUGUUUGGUUGACUCCAAGUUUAGGAUCAGGAUUCAUGGAUAUCUUUUAGGAGUGGUGAGUGCAAAGACUUUGUCAGAACCCCAUGCAUUUUGAGAAGCUCCUCUUGAUCAUUUUUUACUACUAAGUGUAUCCUAUGGACCAAUAAACCUUACCUCCAUAGUGGGAAAAUUUAUGGAAUCUAUAAUUGCCAAAGCAAUUUGUAGCCAUCUCGAAAGGCAUAAAUUGAUUAAUGAAUCUCAGCACGGUUUUACAAGGGGGCAUUCCUGUCUUACGAAUUUAUUAACUUUCUUCACUAAGGUAUUUGAGGAGGUCUAUCAUGGUAUUGAAUAUGAUAUUGUGUAUAUGGACUUCAGUAAGGCUUUCGAUAGAGUUUCACAUCAGAAGCUAUUGGGGGAAACUUAAGGCACACGGAAUAGGAGAAAUUUUUUACUGGGUUGAGG